rnacentral:misc_RNA from 1 species
CAUAUUUCUAUGAAAUCUUUUGAUGGCUGUCUGCUGUCUGCUUAACUGGGCAUUGAUGUUGGAACUUCGAAUAUUGGCGCAUUUGAGCGAAGACGCAGGUCUUUGUUCUGUUCUUAGCCAACCCGAUGGCGAUGUUUUCCGCGGCAUUGUAUCGGUUUGGAAAAAGAAAAAGCAAGAAGAAGUCAGAGACGAUGAAAGGCAAAAAGCGAAACAAAUCUGCUACGGGAUUGUUUACGGCAUGGGAUGUAAAUGUUUAGCCGAACAGUUGGAAGUCGGGGAAGAAGAGGCUCAACUCUUUGUUAACACUUUCCACGCAAGGUAUACAAAGCUUUAUAACAAACACAGGUCAACCGAUGUGGAAAAAAAUUCAGGAGGAAAAUGAAUUGAGCUGCUGACAUUGGCCUAUUCUGGAAUACAUCAGUUUGCAUCAUAAUCAGAAAGACUCCCCACCCUCUCAUUCAUAUCGUGACCAAGGGUACGAAUCACGUGAAAGCCCAAAGUUCUUGUAACCUGUUGCCUUAUAUGUUUGUGUCACAUUGGUUUCAUAGUCUAAACGAUAACAAUAACAAAACUCGCUACAUUCGA